UGGGGAAUUUUGCACAAUGGGCGCAAGCCUGAUGCAGCAACGCCGCGUGCGGGAUGAAGGCCCUCGGGUUGUAAACCGCUUUCAGCAGGGACGAAACUGACGGUACCUGCAGAAGAAGCCCCGGCUAACUACGUGCCAGCAGCCGCGGUAAUACGUAGGGGGCAAGCGUUAUCCGGAUUUAUUGGGCGUAAAGCGCGCGUAGGCGGCUUGUUAAGUCAGAUGUGAAAACCGGGGGCUCAACCCGCGGCCUGCAUCUGAAACUGGCAGGCUUGAGUCUGGUAGAGGAAAGUGGAAUUCCUGGUGUAGCGGUGAAAUGCGCAGAUAUCAGGAGGAACACCAGUGGCGAAGGCGGCUUUCUGGGCCACGACUGACGCUGAGGCGCGAAAGCUAGGGGAGCGAACAG
rnacentral:rRNA from 1 species